rnacentral:rRNA from 1 species
AUUGAACGCUGGCGGCAUGCCUUACACAUGCAAGUCGAACGGUAGAGUAGCAAUACUCGAGAGUGGCGAACGGGUGAGUAAUAUAUCGGAACGUGCCCAGUCGUGGGGGAUAACGUAGAGAAAUUUACGCUAAUACCGCAUACGAUCUACGGAUGAAAGCGGGGGAUCGCAAGACCUCGCGCGAUUGGGGCGGCUGAUAU